AUUGAACGCUGGCGGCAGGCCUAACACAUGCAAGUCGAGCGAGCGGCGGACGGGUGAGGAAUGUAUGGGGACUGCCCGAUAGAGGGGGAUAACUAAUGGAAACGGUGGCUAAUACCGCAUACUAUCGGAUAACCCAUAUGGGAUUAGCUAGUAGGUGGGGUAAAGGCGCACCAAGGCGACGAUCUCUAGCUGGUCUGAGAGUAUGAUCAGCCACCCUGGGACUGAGACACGGCCCAGACUCCUACGGAGGCAGCAGUGGGAAAUAGUGCACAAUGGGCGCAAGCCGGAUUCAGCCAUGCCGCGUGGAUGAAGAAGGCCUUAGGGUUGGAAAGUACUUUCAGCGGGGAAGCGUUACCCGCAGAAGAAGCACCGGCUAACUCCGUGCCAGCCGCCGCGGUAAUAC
rnacentral:rRNA from 1 species